CCAGGAUUUUUCAAUUAAGCCAAAAAAUUAAGUUAAAAAAAAAAAUUCAUAUGUUGUUGUUUUGCCCCAGAAGGUGGACUUAGUGAUAGGUCAGUAAGUCUUACUGAAGCUCCUAUGUUAGUACAAUUCUUUGUCUGUUGCCUUGCCAUAAUUUCAUUCACGUAAAGGCGUCCUGCAUGGUCCAUAAAUGUGUUACAAAUAGGAACCAUGCCAUCCAGUUAUAGUUAUUCCAAAAAUGAAAUCAGAGGAGCUUCACCCUCUUCAUUCAUUUUAGAGUUGCUAGUCACUGUUCC